UACGAAGGGGCUAGCGUUGUUCGGAAUUACUGGGCGUAAAGCGCGCGCAGGCGGCUAUCCAAGUCAGUGGUGAAAGCCCGGAGCUCAACUCCGGAACUGCCAUUGAAACUGUUUAGCUUGAGGACGAGAGAGGUGAGUGGAAUUCCCAGUGUAGAGGUGAAAUUCGUAGAUAUUGGGAAGAACACCGGUGGCGAAGGCGGCUCACUGGACCACAACUGACGCUGAGGCGCGAAAGCUAGGGGAGCAACAGGG
rnacentral:rRNA from 1 species